UACAGAGGUCCCGAGCGUUGUUCGGAUUCACUGGGCGUAAAGGGUGCGUAGGUGGUGAGGUAAGUCGGAUGUGAAAUCUCGGAGCUCAACUCCGAAACUGCAUUGGAAACUACCUUGCUAGAGGGUUGGAGGGGGGACUGGGAAUAACUUGGUGUAGCAGUGAAAUGCGUAGAUAUCAAGUGGAACACCGUGGCGAAGGCGAGUCCCUGGACAACUCCUGACACUGAGGCACGAAGCUAGGGGAGCAAACAGG
rnacentral:rRNA from 1 species